UCUCAGAAGUCUUUUCCAACCGAAUUAAUUCUAUUAUACCUGCAGCAUCUGAACCUGCCCAUAAAUACCAACCAUACUCCCCAUACACGGUGGGAGGGCUUGGGGGGUGGGAGGUCCUUGCCCUGCACAUGGAGUGUAUGGGGCUUAACAUGCUGCGCCGGGGAUGUGCAGGAGUUGGGAUACAGAACCAGGAACCCGCCGGGAGCCCACCGGGAACCCUCCGGGCCGCGCUCGGAGCCGGGCCGGGCCGGGCCGCGACCCCCGCCCGCCUGUGAGGGCGGCCGGAGCACGCGCCCGUCCCCAUGGCAACGGCGCGGCUGCGCGCCAGGGGGCGCUCUCGGCACCCGCACCCCCACACGGCUCCCCACAGCCCCCGGGCCGAUCCCCCCGCCCUGUCCCGACUCCCCGGGACCCCCCGCCCUCACCCUCCCUGCGGGCUGGCGGGGACAGGCACUGGUGCGGAACCCCUCAGCCCUGGUCCUCGCUGGCGCUGCCCAUCCUGCGGCUCUGCGGAGUCCUCAGGACGCUCCCGCAGCCCACCGGGCAGGGCAGGGAUCCAGUGGCACCUGGCUGCAGGUGGGCACGGGAAGGGGUGGGCUUGGAGCGGGUAGGGCAUGGGGAGGUGUGAUGGAGGCAGGGAUGGGCACGGAGCGGGCAGGGUGGGCGCGGUGCGAGCAGGGGUGGACACGCUGCGGGCAGGGCAGGGAUAGGUAUGGUGCAUGCAGGGGUGGGCGUGCUGCCGGGGCGCUUCGCCGCGUGGGCGCACAGACCUUCCUUGAUGGAGCAGGACAAAGGUUUUGUUCUUCUCCCAACAGUGCAGCCUUGUGCGGCCGCGGGCAGCGGCGACAGGCAGCAGCCAGCGCGGCCCCGUGCUCCCACGCCACGGCGCAGGGGGGGAGUUUCUCCUUCUUUGUCUGCUCCCGGCCAGGCAGCAGCCGGUGCGCGGCAGCGCCGGAGCAGCAGGGGAAGGGCCUCGGCAGGAGCCGCGGAGGACGGCGGCAGCGAUCCCCUCUGGCCCGGCACAGCCACCGGCUCGGCCUCGCCGCUCUGGGAACGAGCAGCGAUCCCGGGGGAGCCAAGCACUUGAUGACGGGAACCCGACCAGGCAGCGGAGACGGCAGCUGCGGCCGGGGACGGGGAAGACGGCAGCAUUGGGGACAAGGACACUCGCGCCCCGUCCCCACC
rnacentral:lncRNA from 1 species